UACGGAAGGGGCUAGCGUUGUUCGGAAUUACUGGGCUUAAAGCGCACGUAGGCGGCCUUGUAAGUUGGGGGUGAAAUCCCGGAGCUCAACUCCGGAACUGCCUCCAAAACUGCAAAGCUCGAGGAUGUGAGAGGAGAGUGGAAUUCCGAGUGUAGAGGUGAAAUUCGUAGAUAUUCGGAAGAACACCAGUGGCGAAGGCGACUCUCUGGCACAUUUCUGACGCUGAGGUGAGAAAGCGUGGGGAGCAAACAGG
rnacentral:rRNA from 1 species